GAGACUUUCUAGAGCCUUGUGCCCAAAACACGGUGCGAGUCUAGGUGCAUAAGGCUAGUGCCAAAUGAAUGCCGCCUGCCUUCCUCCUGUAGAGGCCGCCUUUAAUAACCAGAAAUUCUAGCAGGAUUGAGAGAAGAAAGGCUCUGAGAGUAUCAUUGAAUUAGGAAUUGAAUCCAGCUCGUGGUGCAAUGGAGAGAAGGGCAACAAAAUGGAAAGGCAUUUGGGGGAGAGAAGAAGAGAGGUUGCAGAGGAGGAGGAGGGGCAAGAUCGUAAAAGAGUAAGAAUCGAGGGCGGGAUUGUAGACAGGGAAGGGUUUUUGUGACUGGGGGAUUUUUUGUUUGUUUGCCUGUUUGGUAUCGAGGAAUCGGUCUGGGGUUUGAAUGCUGUGCCGUGAGACAGCACAGAACAGGAAUUUAGAGAGAGAGAGAGAGAGAGA
rnacentral:misc_RNA from 1 species